rnacentral:rRNA from 1 species
GACCAGACUCCUACGGGAGGCAGCAGUGGGGAAUAUUGGGCAAUGGGCGCAAGCCUGACCCAGCAAUGCCGCGUGAAGGAAGAAGGCUUUCGGGUUGUAAACUUCUUUGACAGGGGAAGAGCAGAAGACGGUACCCUGAAAACAAGCCACGGCUAACUACGUGCCAGCAGCCGCGGUAAUACGUAGGUGGCAAGCGUUAUCCGGAUUUACUGGGUGUAAAGGGAGUGUAGGUGGCAUAACAAGUCAGAAGUGAAAGCCCGGGGCUCAACCGCGGGACUGCUUUUGAAACUGUUAAGCUUGAGUGCAGGAGAGGUAAGCGGAAUUCCUAGUGUAGCGGUGAAAUGCGUAGAUAUUAGGAGGAACACCAGUGGCGAAGGCGGCUUACUGGACUGUAACUGACACUGAGGCUCGAAAGCGUGGGGAGCAAACAGGAUUAGAUACCCUAGUAG